rnacentral:piRNA from 1 species
UGCUUGAUUUUUGGGCAAGCU